rnacentral:rRNA from 1 species
UACAGAGGUCUCAAGCGUUGUUCGGAAUUACUGGGCGUAAAGGGCGCGCAGGCGGCUGCUCAAGUCAGGCGUGAAAGGCCUGGGCUCAACCCGGGAAUUGCGCUUGAGACUGGGCUGGCUUGAGUGCGGGAGAGGAUGGUGGAAUUCCCAGUGUAGAGGUGAAAUUCGUAGAUAUUGGGAAGAACACCGGUGGCGAAGGCGGCCAUCUGGACCGCAACUGACGCUGAGGCGCGAAAGCGUGGGGAGCAAACAGG